rnacentral:tRNA from 1 species
GGACGAUUAGCUCAGUGGUAGAGCGCUGCAUUCACAUUGCAGAUGUCGCUGGUUCAAGUCCAGCAUCGUCCA